rnacentral:lncRNA from 1 species
AGAGAGGGAAAUCUGUGAGAGAUAAUAAGGGAAACCAAAAGAUGUUAUACCAGGAAGCAGUUUGAAAGAAGGAAGCUGAUUUCAGAGCACCUCCUUACUUCCUGUUCUCCUCACUAAUCAACCUAAUGAAGUUUGCCUCACAGAUGGAUUAGGUGAAUACCUAUGAAAAAUUCCUGGUGGUUCAAGAGAUAGCAGGAGAAAUUUUUAAGGAACAGAGAUGGCUUCAAAAACAACAGCACCUUGACACAAAGCAGUAA